rnacentral:rRNA from 1 species
UACGGGGGGGAGCAAGCGUUGUUCGGAUUUACUGGGCGUAAAGGGCGCGUAGGCGGCCAGCACAAGUCAGUUGUGAAAUCUCCGAGCUUAACUCGGAACGGUCAACUGAUACUGUGCGGCUAGAGUGCGGAAGGGGGCAACUGGAAUUCUUGGUGUAGCGGUGAAAUGCGUAGAUAUCAGGAGGAACACCAAUGGCGAAGGCAGCUCGCUGGGACGGUACUGACGCUGAGGCGCGAAAGCCGUGGGGGAGCAAACAGG